rnacentral:rRNA from 1 species
AUCUUCGGACCUUGCGCUAAUAGAUGAGCCUAAGUCGGAUUAGCUAGUUGGUGGGGUAAAGGCCUACCAAGGCGACGAUCUGUAGCGGGUCUGAGAGGAUGAUCCGCCACACUGGGACUGAGACACGGCCCAGACUCCUACGGGAGGCAGCAGUGGGGAAUAUUGGACAAUGGGCGCAAGCCUGAUCCAGCCAUGCCGCGUGUGUGAAGAAGGCCUUUUGGUUGUAAAGCACUUUAAGCGAGGAGGAGGCUCCUUUAGUUAAUACCUAAAGUGAGUGGACGUUACUCGCAGAAUAAGCACCGGCUAACUCUGUGCCAGCAGCCGCGGUAAUACAGAGGGUGCGAGCGUUAAUCGGAUUUACUGGGCGUAAAGCGUGCGUAGGCGGCUUUUUAAGUCGGAUGUGAAAUCCCUGAGCUUAACUUAGGAAUUGCAUUCGAUACUGGAAAGCUAGAGUAUGGGAGAGGAUGGUAGAAUUCCAGGUGUAGCGGUGAANAUGCGUAUGAGAUCUGGAGNGAAUACCGAUGGCGAAGGCAGCCAUCUGGCCUAAUACUGACGCUGAGGUACGAAAGCAUGGGGAGCAAACAGGAUUAGAUACCCUGGUAGUCCAUGCCGUAAACGAUGUCUACUAGCCGUUGGGGCCUUUGAGGCUUUAGUGGCGCAGCUAACGCGAUAAGUAGACCGCCUGGGGAGUACGGUCGCAANGACUAAAACUCAAAUGAAUUGACGGGGGCCCGCACAAGCGGUGGAGCAUGUGGUUUAAUUCGAUGCAACGCGAAGAACCUUACCUGGCCUUGACAUACUAAGAACUUUCCAGAGAUGGAUUGGUGCCUUCGGGAACUUAGAUACAGGUGCUGCAUGGCUGUCGUCAGCUCGUGUCGUGAGAUGUUGGGUUAAGUCCCGCAACGAGCGCAACCCUUUUCCUUAUUUGCCAGCGGGUAAUGCCGGGAACUUUAAGGAUACUGCCAGUGACAAACUGGAGGAAGGCGGGGACGACGUCAAGUCAUCAUGGCCCUUACGGCCAGGGCUACACACGUGCUACAAUGGUCGGUACAAAGGGUUGCUACCUCGCGAGAGGAUGCUAAUCUCAAAAAGCCGAUCGUAGUCCGGAUCGCAGUCUGCAACUCGACUGCGUGAAGUCGGAAUCGCUAGUAAUCGCGGAUCAGAAUGCCGCGG